GCAAUAAGUCCUUCCCAGCUAGAGUUUUGUUUUUGUUCCCUUUUCUUAAGCUGUACAUUAUCCAUUUGGUAAAUAAAAACUUUAGUUUACCAAAAAAGAAAGUGCUUAUGAAAAUAAACAAUGUCAAACAAGCUCUUAUAUAGUAUAAUACAAUGAGGUUGUUUUUCAGCACUAUGUACAUUUCACUAAAAUCUAGUUUCAACAGCUGCAUUCACCCUCUUGCCAUUCUUUAGUUUGUCCAGAAGCUAUUCUU
rnacentral:misc_RNA from 1 species